rnacentral:rRNA from 1 species
GCUCAGGACGAACGCUGGCGGCGUGCUUAACACAUGCAAGUCGAGCGGAAAGGCCCCUUCGGGGGUACUCGAGCGGCGAACGGGUGAGUAACACGUGAGCAACCUGCCCCUGACUCUGGGAUAAGCCCGGGAAACUGGGUCUAAUACCGGAUAUAACCACUGGUCUCAUGAUCGGGUGGUGGAAAGUUUUUCGGUUGGGGAUGGGCUCGCGGCCUAUCAGCUUGUUGGUGGGGUGAUGGCCUACCAAGGCGACGACGGGUAACCGGCCUGAGAGGGCGACCGGUCACACUGGGACUGAGACACGGCCCAGACUCCUACGGGAGGCAGCAGUGGGGAAUAUUGCGCAAUGGGCGGAAGCCUGACGCAGCGACGCCGCGUGAGGGAUGACGGCCUUCGGGUUGUAAACCUCUUUCAGCAGGGACGAAGCUAACGUGACGGUACCUGCAGAAGAAGCGCCGGCUAACUACGUGCCAGCAGCCGCGGUAAUACGUAGGGCGCAAGCGUUGUCCGGAAUUAUUGGGCGUAAAGAGCUCGUAGGCGGUUUGUCGCGUCUGUCGUGAAAGCCCACGGCUUAACCGUGGGUCUGCGGUGGAUACGGGCAGACUAGAGGCAGGUAGGGGAGAAUGGAAUUCCCGGUGUAGCGGUGAAAUGCGCAGAUAUCGGGAGGAACACCGGUGGCGAAGGCGGUUCUCUGGGCCUGUACUGACGCUGAGGAGCGAAAGCGUGGGGAGCGAACAGGAUUAGAUACCCUGGUAGUCCACGCCGUAAACGUUGGGCGCUAGGUGUGGGGUCCUUCCACGGAUUCCGCGCCGCAGCUAACGCAUAAGCG